rnacentral:rRNA from 1 species
UACGGAGGGUGCAAACGUUGCUCGGAAUCAUUGGGCGUAAAGCGCGCGUAGGCGGUUGCUUAAGUCGGAUGUGAAAGCCCUCGGCUUAACUGAGGAAGUGCAUCCGAAACUGAGCAGCUAGAGUACGAAAGAGGGUCGCGGAAUUCCCGGUGUAGAGGUGAAAUUCGUAGAUAUCGGGAGGAACACCGGUGGCGAAGGCGGCGACCUGGGUCGAGACUGACGCUGAGGCGCGAAAGCGUGGGGAGCAAACAGG